UUACGGUUUAUUCGCUUAAUUAAUAGGGAAGACGGUGCAAGUCCGUCACAACCGCCAUUACUGUAAGCAGCUAAAGUCAUAGCAUUAUGCCAUUGGGAAACUGAGAAGGCGAUGGAGACGCAGGAUAAUAUCCAUAAGCGUGAGUCAGAAGACCUACGAGGUU
rnacentral:ncRNA from 1 species